UCUUAUUUGCAGGACAAGUAUGAGUGUGUGCUGAAGGCCAAUGGCAAUCUGGAAAAGCAACUUCUGUCCUUGGAGUUUGAGCUGGCCCCAAGAAGGGGAGAACCUGAUGUAACUCGUAUAACUUCCAAGAAGGGGAGUAGCUAAAGUUUGCUGGUCGCAGAUAAAUCUUUUUGCUGAAAGUCAAUCUCCUGUGUGUUAUUCUGAAUUUUUUGCUGAAAGUCAGUCUCCCAUGUGUUAUUCAGAAUUUUUUCUCCCAUGAUAAAACUUUAGCUGAAUCUUUUCAGUUAACUGAAACCUUUUUCUUAAAUUUAAACUAAAUGAAUCUUUUGCAUUAGAACUAAAUGAAAAAAUUUCAGUUAACUUUAACUGAAUAUUUUCAGUUAACUGAAAAUUUUCAGUCAAAGUUAACUGAAAAUUUAAAAAACAGUUAAAUGGAAAUAUUCAGUUAACUUUAACAGAAAAUUUUGAGUUAGAGUUAACUGAAUAUGAUCAAAUGAUAAUGCUAACAAAUAUUUUCGGUUAGUGAAUCCCUUGAACUAAUUUUCAAUUAAAGUUAACUGAAAUGAUAAUGCUAACAGAUGCUAUUGUUUUCAGUUAACUUUUUCAGGAAGGGGCCGUGGUCUCCUGAGGAGGACCAGAGACUGAGGGACUACAACCUCAAGCAUGGCCUUGGCUGCUGGCCCUGCAAAGGCAGUCACCGCCUGCAUCUUGAAUGGGAUCUUCUUCCAUGUUGAAAUCACCAUCCUGGUCAUCAUGACCUCCUCCAGAAAUGCUGGAUCUGCUGCUGCUGCUGCUCGCUGCAGGAUCUGAUGAUCAACCGGAGAUGUUGCUGCUCAAGUCAUGGCGACGACCAACCGGAGAUGAUGGCAUGAUGCUGAUGAUCUGCUGCUCAACAAGGUGCUUCUGUGACGUGCUGAUGAUCUACUGCUCAACGCGGUGAUGGAUCUGGUAGUGCCUGGGGCAGGUGAUGGAUGGACGACAAGGAGAAGCAGGGGCGAUGAGGAGGAGCCUGGCGAAGGGGUGGAGCAGGGGCGACGAAGAGGAGCCGCGGAGGGGCGGAUGGAGGAAGACGACGAUCUCAAAUUAGGGGUAGUUCUGUACUUUCCUACAUUUUCACCUGGUCGGAGUAUUCCCCCCAGCAACAACUACUCCUGUUACGGUACAGAGGGAGUACUUACUAAUAAACGUAUUAAG